rnacentral:rRNA from 1 species
GAUGAACGCUGGCGGCGUGCCUAAUACAUGCAAGUCGAGCGAACGGACGAGAAGCUUGCUUCUCUGAUGUUAGCGGCGGACGGGUGAGUAACACGUGGAUAACCUACCUAUAAGACUGGGAUAACUUCGGGAAACCGUAGCUAAUACCGGAUAAUAUUUUGAACCGCCUGGUUCAAAAGUGAAAGACGGUCUUGCUGUCACUUAUAGAUGGAUCCGCGCCGCUUUAGCUAGCUGGUCAGGUAACGGCUUACCAAGGCAACGAUGCAUCGCCGGCCUGAGAGGGGGAUCGGCCGCACUGGAGCUGAGGCGGGGUCCGGGCGCGUACGGGAGGCAGCAGUGGGGAAGCUUCCGCAAUGGGGGGAAGCGUGGCGGAGCGAGGCCGCGUGGGUGGGGAAGGUCUUGGGAUCGUAGGGCUGUGUUAUGGGGGGAGAGCAUAUGUGUAGGGAGCUGGGCGCAUCUUGACGGUACCUAGUCAGAAAGCCGCGGCUAACUACGUG